UGAGUUUAGACAUAGCUCAGUGCUCGAGGAU
rnacentral:piRNA from 1 species